UACGAAGGGGGCUAGCGUUGCUCGGAAUCACUGGGCGUAAAGCGCACGUAGGCGGAUCUUUAAGUCAGGGGUGAAAUCCUGGAGCUCAACUCCAGAACUGCCUUUGAUACUGAGGAUCUUGAGUCCGGGAGAGGUGAGUGGAACUCCGAGUGUAGAGGUGAAAUGCGUAGAUAUUGGGAGGAACACCAGUGGCGAAGGCGGCUACCUGGACCGGUUCUGACGCUGAUGCGCGAAAGCGUGGGUAGCAAACAGG
rnacentral:rRNA from 1 species